rnacentral:rRNA from 1 species
AUUGAACGCUGGCGGCAUGCUUUACACAUGCAAGUCGAACGGCAGCGCGGGCUUCGGCCUGGCGGCGAGUGGCGAACGGGUGAGUAAUGCAUCGGAACGUGCCCAGUAGUGGGGGAUAGCCCGGCGAAAGCCGGAUUAAUACCGCAUACGACCUGAGGGUGAAAGCGGGGGACCGAAAGGGCUCGCGCUAUUGGAGCGGCCGAUGUCGGAUUAGCUAGUUGGUGGGGUAAAGGCUUACCAAGGCGACGAUCCGUAGCUGGUCUGAGAGGACGACCAGCCACACUGGGACUGAGACACGGCCCAGACUCCUACGGGAGGCAGCAGUGGGGAAUUUUGGACAAUGGGGGCAACCCUGAUCCAGCCAUGCCGCGUGCGGGAAGAAGGCCUUCGGGUUGUAAACCGCUUUUGUUCGGGAAGAAAUCCUCUGGGCUAAUACCCCGGGGGGAUGACGGUACCGGAAGAAUAAGCACCGGCUAACUACGUG